UACGGGGGGGGCAAGCGUUGUUCGGAAUUACUGGGCGUAAAGGGCUCGUAGGCGGCCAACUAAGUCAGACGUGAAAUCCCCUCGGCUUAACCGGGGAACUGCGUCUGAUACUGGAUGGCUUGAGUUUGGGAGAGGGAUGCGGGAUUCCAGGUGUAGCGGUGAAAUGCGUAGAGAUCGGGAGGAACAUCAGUUGCGAAGGCGGCUCUCUGGACCAGUACUGACGCUGAGGCACGAAAGCGUGGGGAGCAAACAGGG
rnacentral:rRNA from 1 species